GAGCGUUUACUGUUAUAGGAGCUUUGUACUCCCUAAUAGGAGAGUCUGGAGAUGAUUUCAGCUCCCAUGAGGUACACACCGGGAAGCCCUCUGCAGAUAGCUCUACAUCUCAGGAGGAACUACAAAAAUACUGCUAAGGAAAAGGAUGACUGAAAUUCUGUGCCUAGCUUGUUGCCACUGUGACUCAACUUCAGAUAAACAAAAGAAGAUGGCUGGAUGGACAGAAGAACGGAUGGGUUUUUGCUCUAGGACGUUUGGGAGUACAGCCAGUACUUGGUCAUGGCACCACUUGUAUCUGCCUUGGUUAAGAGCAGACAUGUACCCUAAUAAGAUAUGUACCAGGGUCCCUGUAGAACUUGGACAUUAGGUCAUCUCUCAUGCCCCUGCUGUGCAGAUGUGGAAUGGCUCCAGAAGUCAACCCAAGUGUCAAAGAGCCCAAAUGCAGACUCGGAAAAGGACAAUGGGAUCAAACUUAACUGGAUUUUAUUUACUAAACACUAAACACAAAUUGUGGGUGGUGCGUGGAACUCGAACAAGGGUCAGGAAUUGUGUGCGUCAUGGAACUUGCACAAGGGUCUUUUGCCUUCAAGUGGAGGGUGCCUAGGAAAAAGCAAUACUGGGCGGGUGAGUGUCCAGACAGAUGAGAGUGAGUCCAGAAUCCAACCUGAAUGGUCCAGUGAACGGGAAUCCAGUGGCAGGAGGGCAGGCAAGUGAGGAAUGGUGAUCCUGUGAUUAUGAACCAGCGGUUAGCGUUUCCAGAGAUGACCAGAGUCCGGGUGAGUGAAAAGAAGUGCGAAUGAUGAGUAUGGUGAAUCCAAGAAGCUACUAGAAACACAAGGAGAACGGGAUAAGUUAGCAUGAACAAGAGAAAUCACAAGAUGCAAAGGAGGCCUAAUACUAACGUAGAUUAGAAGACGAACUGGUGAAGAAAAGUUGCAUGCGCUGGUCUUAAACACUGUUGGCUGAUUAUCCCGGAUCACAGACAGGUGAGCAUGACAGGCGUGUGGAUGAGGGCUCCGCCCAGAGGUGGAACUCAGAAACGUGGAAAAAAUGCAGCUACUCUCCUGGACCAUGACACCAAGUCACCUUCCUCUUGGGGUGGACCCAUGUUGCCCCGGAGCCCUGGGAGGUAAGCUUGACUGCUCUUUACUCUAUGUUUCUCAUUUCUGCCUCGAUCAUGGUUUUCCUCUUUGUUAAGUUAAGCUUUUCCAGACUUUUGGAAGCAUGUGAUGCCCAGACUUUGUCAUCCUGUACAGGCUGCUAAAAUAAAGUUGGCUAUUAAAGAUUCCUUUUUCUUGGACCAGUGAUU
ensembl:lncRNA